rnacentral:lncRNA from 1 species
GAAGAUGCCACCCACAUUUUAGGGGGCAGCCUGAGCCUUUUCCCAAGCAAGAUGCCUCCUGGGGAGACUAGUGCAGACAGGCAGUUCUGAUUAUGUAUGCAAAUACAGGUCUGGCCCUGAAGCUUAUUUGAGAGCCACACAGCUCAGCUAAGCCACCCUGGAGAAAGAAUCUUACAAAGAAUACUAAAGAGCAUCCAAGUGUGAAGAAUGAAACACACAAUGCACAUGAAGUCCAGCCAUGGUGUAGCCAAGGAGACCCACUAAGACCACCAAAAGCUUGGAAAUGAGGAUGCAGGGGCAAAGGACGGCAUUAUAGGCGCAUACAUCUCUUCACACCAUGAAUGAUUUGAAGCUUGCAUGCUUUUGGAUUGCCCUGGUGAAGAUUUAGUUUCCAGCUCAAGAAAACCCAUGUCAGAAAAUCGUCCUUCAGCAUUCUCAGAGGAUAAAUAAAAAAGAUUGCUACUGAAAGAACCCAAUUUUGUUUUUCAAAAUAUAUGUGCAAAUAGACAUUGAAAAAAAUAUGGGCAUGAUAUAAUCAAAAUGGUAUAAAUUGUCAUGUAUGGAUAGAGGAUAAUAAUGAUUUCUAUUUUGGGGGAGGACUUUUUAAUUUUC